AAUACCACUCUUUCGCAGCACCGGAUAGUAGUAGACGAAAUUCCCUUAAUACCUCGGCCCAUGGACAUGCAUAAAGACUCUGGAGCAUCUCUACCUGGAACACGAAUUCUUCUACCCAAUGAUGGUGUGAACUACAUGGUGGCGGUGGAUAGUACCCACCUUGAGGCUGAUGUGUACCUCCAAACCCUUCCUGGAAGUCAGGUUCGGACCUAGUGUCGCGGAAUGACCGUUGAUUACCUCCUCUAGGAUUCCCUACCGGAACAAAAGGUCUAGAAGCAGGAUUUAAUUGCGUGGGAUUUGCUACUGCAGAGCUCAUAAGGAUGAAAAUGCGAACACGACUUCAAUUUGAUUUCCUAUCAACACAAUCAACAUUACUAUUUAAAUAUAACAAACAAAAAUGAAAAAAAACUAUAACAUUUAAAAAAAAAUUAUGUAACUAAUAAAAACGGGGUUGGGUACGAUU